AUUGAACGCUGGCGGCAGGCCUAACACAUGCACGUCGAACGAGUGGCGGACGGGUGAGUAAUGUCUGGGAAACUGCCCGAUGGAGGGGGAUAACUACUGGAAACGGUAGCUAAUACCGCAUACCAUCGGAUGUGCCCAGAUGGGAUUAGAUAGUAGGUGGGGUAAUGGCUCACCUAGGCGACGAUCCCUAGCUGGUCUGAUAGGAUGCCCAGCCAAACUGUAACUGUGACACGGUCCAGACUCUUACGGGAGGCAGCAGUGGGGAAUAUUUCACAAUGGGCGCAAGCCUGAUUCAUCAAUGCCGCGUGUAUGAAGAAGGCCUGCGGGUUGUAAAGUACUUUCAGCGAGGAGGCGUUACUCGCAGAAGAAGCACCGGCUAAAUCCGUGCCAGCAGCCGCGGUAAGAC
rnacentral:rRNA from 1 species